rnacentral:rRNA from 2 species
CAAACGACUCUCGGCAACGGAUAUCUUGGCUCUCGCAUCGAUGAAGAACGUAGCGAAAUGCGAUACUUGGUGUGAAUUGCAGAAUCCCGUGAACCAUCGAGUUUUUGAACGCAAGUUGCGCCCGAAGCCUUUNGGCCAGGGCACGUCUGCCUGGGCGUCACGC